CCCCUCUAAGGGUCGCACCUGAAGAGUUUCCAGUACUCUACCAGUCAUGACUACAGGAGGGAGAGUCAAGCAGAGGUAUACCCAUUCCAUUCCUAGCUUGGCCAGUGGCUAGUGAGUGGCAACAAGUCUGCUACAAGU